rfam:Gossypium raimondii Chr10_contig_931, whole genome shotgun sequence.
UGUUAAAAAUUUCAUUUACUUGUAUUGUUAAAAAUUGGUGUGCCUGAUGGAAUAAUCAAACAAUGACACAUGAGGUGCCAUGUGUAUGUCAUCCUGACCUACAGAGAUCAAUUUUUAACAGUAAAAAUGAAUUAAAUUUUUAACA